AGCUCACUGGUGGUUUCUCUGCUUCUCCAGUGACACCAACCGAGAAAUUGCAUCUGGUGAUGACAUCUGUGUAUGUUCAGUGGUUAUUUAUUCCACUGAAGAAAAAUUAGCUGUGUAGUCACUCUGAAAACUCUUUCUUAUAGAGCGGGAAGAUGUUGCCUUGCUUUCUAGGGAUGAAGAACUCAAUAUUGCAGGGGCUGAGUGACCUCCUUCCUCCGUGAGUUUACCUGAUGCCAGCCGAGGAUGCUUAGCACAUCACAGAAAUGCAUUUCGCUUCCAGGCAGUGAAAUUCUGACUCUUUUGAAAUUAAUGGGAGUUCUGCCAUCAAUCUGGGCUGUCACCCACUAAUACGGAUGAACAAGAAGUGGAAGAGAAAAAUCACCUGAAUUACUGCCACUUAAUAGAAUAAACCGGGAACAUCUGCCUCUGAAAAGCACGAGGAGCUUUUCAACAAUGGCAUGUGGUGCAGUGUCUGCAGCACUUAAUUCUGAGCAGCGUAAUUCUGAUCUCUGGUAAGACUGACGGAAUCAUGACUGGAUGAGGAAACCUCAACGUUUUGGGUUGAAACUGCUGCCAUUGUUAGAUAUCCACAGAGAGGACACUUGAGAUACUUGACAAGCUUUGUGAGGUGUUAAUUGGCAAUUGUCCUUAGUUCAGCCCCUUCUGAAGAAGAGCCAAAGAGCUCAAGGAGAAGGCCUUGCAGGAAUUAGUCUUUGAAGCAGCAGAAGCUCUUGGUGAGAAAUGCAUCAGCUGGCUCAGCUGACUCAACUGCACCGAGAGCAACUCUGUUACUUAUUUCCUACCAUCUUGGAAGAACGAGAAUACCUCAACGGCAAAGCUCCAUGGAAAGUCUGGAGACAGCUUACCCAUCCACCUGUCUAUCCAAAUCCCUCUCUAUCCCUAGCUCAUGGCUGAAGUAUUUAUGUGCUAGUCUAGCUGGUUUAUUAUGGGAGGUAGAGGUUGCAAUGAUAGUUGUUCAGAUGCCAACAAGUAGGCAUAUGAAGUCCAUCAGAUGAUAUAAAGUAUGUAAGACAUCUGUGUAGAAAUGACAGUGAAGAUGAAGGAAGAUCUAGAAGAGUCUGGCACCUUCUGGAGAGACAGCUGGACACCACGCAGGCUGCCUGCAGUCAAAAAUGUCUUUUAGGCAACAGAUUCCUACCUCGCAUGACUCACAACUUUCCAUGAAGUUCUGUGUCAUCAGGGACAAAUGCCACAAUUUGCCGGUUCUCCCGACAUGUAUGGAACACAGUGUUCUCAUCCACUUUUUAGGUCAAAAGCAGUCGAUAUGUUCUCAGUGAAACGCAGCUUGUUUCACUCCGUAAUAUACUGCAGAAAGACACAAGAUGCCAUGUUUUAAUGACCUAUUAAAAUGCACCUACUGUGCUUUAAAAAGCUUCAGUUUGGGAAACUUUAGCUACCCAAAACUGUACUAAUAGUCAAGUAAUACAUGCUUUACUGUGUGCUAUUCCUAUAGUAAUUUGGUUCUGUAAUAUUUAUCAAUAAACAUCCAUUUUAAUGAAAUCUA